rnacentral:rRNA from 1 species
AUUGAACGCUGGCGGCAUGCCUUACACAUGCAAGUCGAACGGCAGCACGGGAGCAAUCCUGGUGGCGAGUGGCGAACGGGUGAGUAAUAUAUCGGAACGUGCCCAGUCGUGGGGGAUAACGCAGCGAAAGCUGUGCUAAUACCGCAUACGAUCUAAGGAUGAAAGCGGGGGAUCGCAAGACCUCGCGCGAUUGGAGCGGCCGAUAACAGAUUAGCUAGUUGGUGGGGUAAAGGCCACCAAGGCGACGAUCUGUAGCUGGUCUGAGAGGACGACCAGCCACACUGGAACUGAGACACGGUCCAGACUCCUACGGGAGGCAGCAGUGGGGAAUUUUGGACAAUGAGCGCAAGCCUGAUCCAGCAAUGCCGCGUGCAGGAUGAAGGCCUUCGGGUUGUAAACUGCUUUUGUACGGAACGAAACGGCCCUUUCUAAUACAGGGGGCUAAUGACGGUACCGUAAGAAUAAGCACCGGCUAACUACGUGCCAGCCGCCGCAGUAAGAC